rnacentral:rRNA from 1 species
UGAGGAAUAUUGGUCAAUGGGGCGGAGAGCCUGAACCAGCCAAGUCGCGUGAGGGAAGACGGUCCUAUGGAUUGUAAACCUCUUUUGUCAGGGAGCAAGGAGGGCCACGAGUGGCGCUUCGGAGAGUACCUGAAGAAAAAGCAUCGGCUAACUCCGUGCC